rnacentral:rRNA from 1 species
AGAGUUUGAUCCUGGCUCAGAACGAACGCUGGCGGCGUGGAUAAGACAUGCAAGUCGAACGGGAUAUUUUUGUAGCAAUACCGGAAUAUUCAGUGGCGAACGGGUGCGUAACACGUGGGUAACAUGCCGGGAAGAGGAGAAUAGCCCAGGGAAACUUGGAUUAAUGCUCCAUGUGGUCGCAAGACUAAAGACGGGGUAACCUGUCGCUUCCUGAUUGGCCCGCGGCCUAUCAGCUAGUUGGUGUGGUAACGGCGCACCAAGGCUACGACGGGUAGCUGGUCUGAGAGGAUGACCAGCCACACUGGAACUGAGACACGGUCCAGACACCUACGGGUGGCAGCAGUCGAGAAUCUUUCACAAUGGGGGCAACCCUGAUGGAGCGACGCCGCGUGGAGGAUAAGGUCUUCGGAUUGUAAACUCCUGUCAUGCGAGAGUAAGGCCCAUGCGUUAACUGCGUGUGGGAUUGACAGUACCGCAAGAGGAAGAGACGGCUAACUCUGUGCCAGCAGCCGCGGUAAUACAGAGGUCUCAAGCGUUGUUCGGAAUUACUGGGCGUAAAGGGUGCGUAGGCUGCGCAGAAAGUCAGAUGUGAAAUCCGGGGGCUCAACCUCCGAAUUGCAUCCGAUACUCCUGUGCUAGAGGACUGGAGAGGAGCUUGGAAUUCUCGGUGUAGCAGUGAAAUGCGUAGAGAUCGAGAGGAACACUAGUGGCGAAGGCUGGGCUCUGGACAGUAUCUGACGCUGAGGCACGAAGGUCAGGGGAGCAAACGGGAUUAGAUACCCCGGUAGUCCUGACAGUAAACGGUGCACGCUUGGUGUGGGAAGUGACCCUUUCCGUGCCGAAGCUAACGCGAUAAGCGUGCCGCCUGGGAAGUACGAUCGCAAGAUUAAAACUCAAAGGAAUUGACGG